ACUGAAUAGAUACCCUGGUAGUCCACGCUGUAAACGAUGGGUGCUAGCUGUUCGGGGGUUACCCCUGAGUAGCGCAGCUAAACGCGUUAAGCACCCCGCCUGGGGAGUACGGUCGCAAGAUUAAAACUCAAAGAAAUUGACGGGGACCCGGCACAAGCGGUGGAACAUGUGGUUUAAUUCGAGGCAACGCGAAGAACCUUACCAGGGUUUGACAUGCUCUCUAUGGAUUGCUGAAAGGCGAUCCUUCACUUCGGGUGGGAGAUGCACAGGUGCUGCAUGGCUGUCGUCAGCUCGUGUCGUGAGAUGUUGGGUUUAAAGUCCCGCAACGAGCGCAACCCGUCGUCCUCUGUUGCUAACAGGUUAUGCUGAGAACUCUGAGGAAACCUGCCGGUGAUAAGCCGGAGGAAGGUU
rnacentral:rRNA from 1 species